rnacentral:rRNA from 1 species
UAACAAGGAUUCCCCUAGUAACUGCGAGUGAAGCGGAAAAGCUCAAAUUUAAAAUCUGGCAGCUUAGGUUCUCCGAGUUGUAAUCUGGAGAAGCGUUUUCCGCGCCGGACCGUGUACAAGUCUCUUGGAACAGAGCGUCAUAGAGGGUGAGAAUCCCGUCCAUGACACGGACCGCCGGUGCUAUGUGAUACGCUCUCGAAGAGUCGAGUUGUUUGGGAAUGCAGCUCAAAAUGGGUGGUAAAUUCCAUCUAAAGCUAAAUAUUGGCGAGAGACCGAUAGCGAACAAGUACCGUGAGGGAAAGAUGAAAAGCACUUUGGAAAGAGAGUUAAACAGUACGUGAAAUUGUUGAAAGGGAAACGCUUGAAGUCAGUCGCGUCGUACGGAGCUCAGCCCUGCUCUUCUGCUGGGUGUACUCUCUGUGUCGACGGGUCAACGUCAAUUUUGAUCGGCAGAAAAGGGCCUCUUGAAUGUAGACGUCGUUUCGGUGACGUGUUAUAGUCUUGAGGUCGUAUGUGUCGGUUGGGAUUGAGGACCGCAGCACGCCCUUGUGGCCGGGGGUUCGCCUUACGUUUCGUGCUUAGGAUGUUGGCAAAAUGGCUUUAAGCGACCCGUCUUGAAACACGGACCAAGGAGUCUAACAUGCUUGCGAGUGUUAGGGUGGAAAACCCUUGCGCGUAAUGAAAGUGAAAGUUGAGAACCUCCUCAAGGGGGUGCACCGACGCCCGGCCCUGAAGUUCUCUGACGGUUCUGAGGUAGAGCACGUAUGUUGGGACCCGAAAGAUGGUGAACUAUGCCUGAAUAGGGUGAAGCCAGAGGAAACUCUGGUGGAGGCUCGUAGCGAUUCUGACGUGCAAAUCGAUCGUCAAAUUUGGG